rnacentral:rRNA from 1 species
CCUCGGGGUAGAUCUCCCACCCUUUGUUUACUAUUACCUUUGUUGCUUUGGCAGGCCCGCCCUCGGGCCACCGGCUUCGGCUGGUCAGCGCCUGCCAGAGACCCCAAAACUCUUGUUAUUUAAUGUCGUCUGAGUACUAUAUAAUAGUUAAAACUUUCAACAACGGAUCUCUUGGUUCUGGCAUCGAUGAAGAACGCAGCGAAAUGCGAUAAGUAAUGUGAAUUGCAGAAUUCAGUGAAUCAUCGAAUCUUUGAACGCACAUUGCGCCCUCUGGUAUUCCGGGGGGCAUGCCUGUUCGAGCGUCAUUACAACCCUCAAGCUCUGCUUGGUAUUGGGCCUCGCCGGUUCUGGCGGGCCUUAAAAUCAGUGGCGGUGCCAUUCGGCUUCAAGCGUAGUAAUUCUUCUCGCUUCUGGAGACCCGGGUGUGUGCUUGCCAGCAACCCCCCAAUUUUAUCAAAGGUUUGACCUCGGAUC